rnacentral:misc_RNA from 1 species
AAGUCGUAACAAGGUUUCCGUAGGUGAACCUGCGGAAGGAUCAUUACCGAUUAUAGCGAGCCUCGGUCGCUUCUGACCGAGGUAUCGUGAAACCUGUAUUUAAAACCCACUCUUAAUAAAAAUUUAUUGUAUCAAUUAUGAUGAUAAUAUAAAGAUCACUUUCAACAACGGAUCUCUUGGCUCUC